rnacentral:rRNA from 1 species
GACGAACGCUGGCGGCGUGCUUAACACAUGCAAGUCGAACGAGACGAUUGAAAGCUUGCUUUCAAAAGUCGAGUGGCAAACGGGUGAGUAACGCGUAGACAACCUGCCUUUGAGAUGGGGACAACAGUUCGAAAGGACUGCUAAUACCGAAUGUUGUAUAUUUUCCACAUGGAAGAUAUAUUAAAGAUGGCCUCUAUUUAUAAGCUAUCGCUCAAAGAUGGGUCUGCGUCUGAUUAGCUGGUUGGUGGGGUAACGGCCUACCAAGGCGACGAUCAGUAGGCGGUCUGAGAGGAUGAACGGCCCAAUUGGGACUGAGACACGGCCCAGACUACUACGGGAGGCAGCAGUGGGGAAUCUUCCACAAUGGACGAAAGUCUGAUGGAGCAACGCCGCGUGAGUGAAGAAGGGUUUCGGCUCGUAAAGCUCUGUUGUCGGGGACGAAUGUGCAGUAUUUGAAUAAAGUAGUGUAAUGACGGUACCUGACGAGGAAGCCACGGCUAACUACGUGCCAGCAGCCGCGGUAA